AGCAGCCGCGGUAAUUCCAGCUCCAAUAGCGUAUAUUAAAGUUGCUGCAGUUAAAAAGCUCGUAGUUGAAUUUCGGGAUCAAUAUGUUGGUCGUGCCUUGGUACGUACUAGCUUAUUGAUUUCUCCUUUCUGACGAACCAUGAUGUCAUUAAUUUGGUGUCAUGGGGAAUCAGGACUGUUACUUUGAAAAAAUUAGAGUGUUUAAAGCAGGCUCGCGCUUGAAUACAUUAGCAUGGAAUAAUGAAAUAGGACAUUUGAUUCUAUUUUGUUGGUUUCUAGGAUCGACGUAAUGAUUAAUAGGGAUAGUUGGGGGCAUUAGUAUUCAAUUGUCAGAGGUGAAAUUCUUGGAUUUAUUGAAGACUAACUACUGCGAAAGCAUUUGCCAAGGAUGUUUUCAUUAAUCAAGAACGAAAGUUAGGGGAUCGAAGACGAUCAGAUACCGUCGUAGUCUUAACCAUAAACUAUGCCGACUAGGGAUCGGAUGAUGUUAAUUUUUUAAUGACUCAUUCGGCGCCUUACG
rnacentral:rRNA from 1 species